rnacentral:rRNA from 1 species
CCUACGGUGCGCUGCAGUGGGGAAUAUUGGACAAUGGGCGAAAGCCUGAUCCAGCCAUGCCGCGUGUGUGAAGAAGGCCUUCGGGUUGUAAAGCACUUUCAGUGGGGAAGAAAGCCUUGGGGCUAAUACCCUCGAGGAAGGACAUCACCCACAGAAGAAGCACCGGCUAACUCCGUGCCAGCAGCCGCGGUAAUACGGAGGGUGCGAGCGUUAAUCGGAAUUACUGGGCGUAAAGCGCGCGUAGGCGGUCUGAUAAGCCGGUUGUGAAAGCCCCGGGCUCAACCUGGGAACGGCAUCCGGAACUGUCAGGCUAGAGUGCAGGAGAGGAAGGUAGAAUUCCCGGUGUAGCGGUGAAAUGCGUAGAGAUCGGGAGGAAUACCAGUGGCGAAGGCGGCCUUCUGGACUGACACUGACGCUGAGGUGCGAAAGCGUGGGUAGCAAACAGGAUUAGAUACCCGGUAGUC